AUUGAACGCUGGCGGCAGGCCUAACACAUGCAAGUCGAACGAGUGGCGGACGGGUGAGUAAUGUCUGUGAAACUGCCCGAUGGAGGGGGAUAACUACUGGAAACGGUAGCUAAUACCGCAUACCAUCGGAUGUGCCCAGAUGGGAUUAGCUUGUUGGUGGGGUAACGGCUCACCCAGGCGACGCUCCCUAGCUGGUCUGGGAGGAUGACCAGACAAACUGGAACGGGGACACGGUCCAGACUCCUACGGGAGGCAGCGGUGGGGAAUAUUGCACAAUGGGCGCAAGCCGGAUGCAGCCAUGCCGCGUGUAUGAAGAAGGCCUUGGGGUUUUAAAGUACUUUCAGAGAGGAGGCGUUACUCGCAGAAGAAGCACCGGCUAACUCCGUGCCAGCAGCCGCGGUAAUAC
rnacentral:rRNA from 1 species